rnacentral:rRNA from 1 species
CAAGCAAAGGGGGCUUAGUGGUGGGGUGACUGCGUACCUUUUGUAUAAUGGGUCAGCGACUUAUAUUCUGUAGCAAGGUUAACCGAAUAGGGGAGCCGUAGGGAAACCGAGUCUUAACUGGGCGAAUGAGUUGCAGGGUAUAGACCCGAAACCCGGUGAUCUAGCCAUGGGCAGGUUGAAGGUUGGGUAACACUAACUGGAGGACCGAACCGA